UUUACUAACCCUCAAAGAGAGCUUGUCUAA
rnacentral:piRNA from 1 species